AGAGUUAUGGGUUAAUAUCUUACGGAACCCUGACGAUAGCAUCACUCAUCCUCUAGGGCGAUCUAAGGGUGUAAAUGGCUUGCCUUUAGGUUCUAAAAUGGAUCGUGAUUGCUACGAAAGUGAGUUAGUGUAUAUUCUUGUCUCUUCUCUUCUCAUCUCAUUUUGUUUGUUUGAAUAAGCUUAUCAUUUUUCCCCUGUUAAGGUUUUGCUCGAGGACGAGCAAAAGUUAAGCUUUGGGGAAUUUGAUGAGUGCCAUUUAUGGUUCUCAUUUGAUGAGAAUUUAGGUUGUUUUUACCUUCUUUUCGUAGCUUUCUUUCUUAAUAAAUGCUGAGUUUUAUGAGAUUUCUUUAUAUCUCCCUUUUCUCCCUUAUUUUUUUAUUUUUUUCUUGUGUUUUCUCUAUUAUUUCUUCUCUUAUCGUGGUUGUAGGUAUUAAACGCGGUUCGAGCCUUGAUGUUGGUGGUUUUAUAAGGUGGAAGAUGCUUUUGGAGUAAGCUUUUAGCAUUGGGAAAGCACAAGAUGCAAGGACGUGGGUGCUCCAAGUUCUAGCUCUUGCGCUCUCAAGUUGUGCCCUCAUGAAAGGUAGUGUUUCAACCACUAGUAGAAUAAACUUAAUGGGCAGCCACAAAUGGCAAGCGGUUUUUGAAUUCCGCUUGCUAAAAUAUAAAUGGCAAGCGGUUUUGGAUGAACCACUUGCCAAAAUGCAAAUGGCAAGCGGUGUUGGAUGAACCGCUUGCCAAAAUAUAAAUGGCAAGCAGUUUGAGCAUUGAAUCGCUUGCCAUUGGUUAAAAAAACCCUUACACACCCAUCCCACAUAUUCACUCGGCGCCUCUAUCCUCUCUCUCCCCUCAUUUUCACGAUUCUCCUCUCUCUCUCCUCUCUUCCUCCUUCACUCCUCAGUUCUCUCUCCCCCUCCCCCUCCAUCUCCUUCUCUUGCUUCUCUCAGCCUCCUUUCUUUGCUUUCUCACGCCUCACCACAACAGCGACGAGUGACCAACAACCUUUGACGAGCGACUAUAAGAAGGCGGUAGGGUUCAGAUCUUUCGGCUCGACGUUUGGGUAUUACGCUACUUCUCAUGUCAUUCUCGCUUUAAUUUCCGAUAUGGGUGAAUCGGGAUAGGGUGCUGGUGGUGGCGAUACAGGUUAAGGUGGUGGCGGUGAAAGCUGGCGCGUGCGACUGGUGGUUUGCAUGCUGGUGGUGGAACUGGAACAAGAGUAGAAAAUCAGAAAUUAUUUUAUUUAUUAAUUUAUAUGUUGUAUUUUUUUUUUGAAGGAUCAGAAAAUGUAAUAUUGAAGAAAUUGAUUAAUGAAAAUAGUUAUGGUUAUACAUAUGUUAA